CAUUACAACAGCCAUCGUUUAUUAGAAUAUCGUUAUCCUACUUGGAUAACUGUGGCAAUUCUAGAGCUAAUACAUGCAAUAAAGCUCCGCCCGCAAGGAACGAGCGCAUUUAUUAGAAUAAAAACCAAUCGAGUUUCGGCUCGUAAUUUGGUGAAUCUGAAUAACUUUGCCAAUCGCACAGUCCUAGUACUGGCGAUGUAUCUUUCAAGUGUCUGCCUUAUCAACUUUCGAUGGUACGCUAUACGCCUACCAUGGUAGUAACGGGUAACGGAGAAUAAGGGUUCGACUCCGGAGAGGGAGCCUGAGAAAUGGCUACCACAUCCAAGGAAGGCAGCAGGCGCGCAAAUUACCCAAUCCCAGAACGGGGAGGUAGUGACGAAAAAUAACGAGGUAAUCCACUUUGUGGCUUGCCAUCGGAAUGGGCACAAUAUAAAUCUUUUAACGAGGAUCUAUUAGAGGGCAAGUCUGGUGCCAGCAGCCGCGGUAAUUCCAGCUCUAAUAGUGUAUAUUAAAAUUGUUGUGGUUAAAACGCCCGUAGUUGGAUCUUCGGUCUUGAAGCUCGGUAGCCCGUAAGGGUUUAACUGAGUCUUCUGGCCUCGAUUCUAGUUUUCUCCUGAUGCUCUUUAUUGAGUGUCUUGAGUAGCUAGGAAUUUUACUUUGAAAAAAUUAGAGUGCUAAAAGCAGGCUAUACGCUUGAAUAAAGUGCAUGGAAUAAUGGAAUACGACUUUAGU
rnacentral:rRNA from 1 species